rnacentral:rRNA from 1 species
UACGUAGGGUGCGAGCGUUGUCCGGAAUUAUUGGGCGUAAAGGGCUCGUAGGCGGUCUGUCACGUCGGGAGUGAAAACUCAGGGCUUAACCCUGAGCCUGCUUCCGAUACGGGCAGACUAGAGGUAGGUAGGGGAGAACGGAAUUCCUGGUGUAGCGGUGGAAUGCGCAGAUAUCAGGAGGAACACCGGUGGCGAAGGCGGUUCUCUGGGCCUUACCUGACGCUGAGGAGCGAAAGCGUGGGGAGCGAACAGG